rnacentral:lncRNA from 1 species
UGUUAAAUGACUCCCAUGUCUCUCCCCCUCUCUCCUCCCUUCACCUGUUAAAUGACUCCCAUGUCUCUCCCCCUCUCUCCUCCCUUUACCUGUUAAAUGACUCCCAUGUCUCCCCCUCUCUCCUCCCUUCACCUGUUAAAUGACUCCCAUGUCUCUCCCCCUCUCUCCUCCCUUCACCUGUUAAAUGACUCCCAUGUCUCUCCCCCCUCUCUCCUCCCUUCACCUGUUAAAUGACUCCCAUGUCUCUCCCCCCUCUCUCCUCCCUUCACCUGUUAAAUGACUCCCAUGUCUCAUGUCUCCCCCCUCUCUCCUCUCUUCACCUGUUAAAUGACUCCCAUGUCUCCCCCUCUCUCCUCCCUUCACCUGUUAAAUGACUCCCCCCUCUCCUCUCUUCACCUGUUAAAUGACUCCCAUGUCUCCCCCUCUUUCCUCCCUUCACCUGUUAAAUGACUCCCCCCUCUCCUCCCUUCACCUGUUAAAUGACUCCCAUGUCUCCCCCCUCUCUCCUCCCUUCACCUGUUAAAUGACUCCCAUGUCUCCCCCUCUCUCCUCCCUUUACCUGUUAAAUGACUCCCAUGUCUCUCCCCCUCUCUCCUCCCUUUACCUGUUAAAUGACUCCCAUGUCUCUCCCCCCUCUCUCCUCCCUUCACCUGUUAAAUGACACCCAUGUCUCCCCCCUCUCUCCUCCCUUCACCUGUUAAAUGACUCCCAUGUCUUUCCCCCCUCUCUCCUCCCUUCACCUGUUAAAUGACUCCCAUGUCUUUCCCCCUCUCUCCUCCCUUCACCUGUUACAGAUAACAAAAAUGAUAUAGUGAUUCUUCACUUUCUGGUCCUCCUCAAGGCUUAAACUUUUGCCUCUCGAUCCACUCAGAUAUCCAAAUCCAAGUGGUUUUCUGUUCCUGCAGUUUGCUUGUUAUCUCAUUACAGGACUUUAUCAGCCAAUAAAAAUAUAAAUAUCUUCUAACACAGUUGACAUCCAUAUUAGAAAAGACAGCUGUAGGAUGGUGGGCAACCUCUGAUACAGGUGAGGUGUUAGUUUGGACAGGACAGAAGACAGUGUUGUGUCUCUCUUUCUGUGUCUCUCUCGCCACUUCCUCUUCAUCAAAACACAACAUCCAAUCACAUUGUAACCUUGUCCCUGCCUGGAUACGGUAGUACAGUACCUUUAGAUAUGAGUUAUAUAUACGCUUGCAUCCCAAAUUGCACCUUAUUCCCUUUAUAGUGCACUACUUUUGAACAGAGACCUAUGAGCCAUUUGGGAAGCGGACUGUGUGUUCUGUCUCACCUGAGGUGUGGGUGUGGGUGGGUGUGUGUGUGUUUGUGUGUGUGUGUGUGUGUGUGUGUGUUCUGUCUCACCUGAGGUGGGGGGGGGUGUGUGUGUGUGUGUUCUGUCUCACCUGAGGUGUGUGUGUGUGUGUUCUGUCUCACCUGAGGGGGGUGUGUGUCUGUGUGUGUGUGUGUGUCUGUGUGUGUGUGUGUCUGUGUGUCUGUGUGUGAUUUGUCUCACCUGAAGUGUGUGUGUGUGGGUUCUGUCACACCUACCUGUCCGCCAUGAUCCAUUGUGGACACCUGAACGUUCGUCUCUAUGACGGGUGUCUUUCAGGAGUCCUCUGGCUACGUUUACACAGGCAGCCCAGUUCUGAUCUUUUGCCACCUAAUUCAUAUUUUGCCAAUUAUUGGGUAAAAGAUAAGAAUUGGACUGCCAGCGUAAAUGACGUAACGUUGGCUCCACCACAGGAUGACGUGGAGAAAAGUCUACACAUCAUUGCCUUGCCAUCCCACCAAAUAUAUGGAAUGGCCAUAGAAAGGACUAAGGUCUGGGAUGUAAAUGUUAGGCCUACAGGAAUCUAUAUGUGAUCCGAGAGGGUCUAAGUGGAUAUAAGGUCUGCAUGACACUAUACACUUGGGACACGUUUCCAUAUUAACAUAUUGAUUAGUUAUCAUAUUGGUGUGCGUUAUUGUGUAAGUGUGUGUGUGUGUGUGGUGUGUCUUGGUGUGUAAGAGGUGCCCAGGUUCAGGCUAUACUGCUGUGCUAGCCAAGGGAUUUUUAGGUUGUUUAAGCAAUAUUAAAUAUGGACAGUUUUUUUUUUUGGUGUGUAUUUCUGGAAGUGGAAGGAGGGGGGAGGGGUAUUGCUUUUUACUUCUCCCUGGUGACUGAGUGUGAAUAUAUAUUGAUGGUGUAACAGCAGUAAAUUAUUUAUCCUAAAGCCGUUGACUACUGUGUUUUUUUGGGGUAGAAAGGAGAGGGGGGGGGGUGA